rnacentral:hammerhead_ribozyme from 1 species
AUCUAGUUGACCAGUCUCAAAUAGGACGAAACGUGCGUUAAGCUGGAU